CUGACUGCGUCCUCAUUCGCCAUAAAAGUGGAUGACGCCGGGGAUGAAUACGUUAGUUUGUCGUUCAAUCCGGAGACGAAGAACCACAAACAUUCAAAUGACCCAAACAAGGAAAACCUCCGAGGUGCAAUGUAUGCGGAGCCAGGCAACCCCAGAUGUCCGGUCCUGAGCUUCAAAAAAUAACUCGCCAGACGUCCGCCGGGUGUCACCGCCUUCUACCUCCAUCCACUGAAGGACCCCAAACCACAUCUCUGGUAGGGGAGAGUGGGGACAGUUGCAACGUGUGGCAGUUGCAACAUUGCUGAUUUCUCCAAUCAGGAAUGAGCUAGAGUCAUGAAACUCCUAAUGCACAUGCUCAGUAAGCCCCUCCAUCUUUCUGGAAGUUAACAUCCACAUGUCAUCGUUCCUUAUGGGAGAACUGAAAUUCAAGCCGAUGGGGAAGAACUACCUGGGGGAAAUGCUUCCACGAUUGUCCAAAGCAGCUGGUAUGACCACCAGAUACACCAACCACUAGAAGCACGGCUGUCCAUCGUCUGUCUGAGGCCGGGCUGGAGUCCAGACAAAUCAUGUCUGUUACGGGACACAGGUGUGAAUCCAGCCUCAAAAGCUAGGCUACUGGGCCCCAUCCAACAUGGACAAAAAGGUUUGGAGUCGGGUGUUGUCCGCACACCAGCAGGCCUCCGCAGCAAGCAUCUCUCCCCCUCAAGCUGCGCAAUCCUCUCAGCCUACCUCGUCCGAUUCAUCUUUCCCUAUGCCCCUCAAUAUGUCCCAUUUUACAAUCAAUGGGAAUGUCCAG